rnacentral:rRNA from 1 species
CAAAACUGGCCAGUUCGACGAGAGACUUUCGGGUCUCUAGUGGCGAACGGGUGAGUAACACGUAGGGAACCUGCCCGCGCACCGGGAAUACGCUCUGGAAACGGAGAACAAAUCCCGAUGUACAGGAAGGAGGCAUCUUCUUUCUGUGAAACAUCCUCUAGGGGAUGGGGCGCGGAUGGACCUGCGGUGCAUUAGUUGGUUGGCGGGGUAAAGGCCCACCAAGACGAUGAUGCAUAGCCGGCCUGAGAGGGCGGACGGCCACAUUGGGACUGAGACACGGCCCAGACUCCUGCGGGAGGCAGCAGUAGGGAAUUUUCGUCAAUGGGCGCAAGCCUGAACGAGCGAUGCCGCGUGAGUGAAGAAGGCCUUCGGGUCGUAAAGCUCUGUUGCGGGGGAAAAAAGGCAGCAUCAGGAAAUGGGUGCUGACUGAUGGUGCCCCGCCAGAAAGUCACGGCUAACUACGUGCCAGCAGCCGCGGUAAUACGUAGGUGGCGAGCGUUAUCCGGAAUGAUUGGGCGUAAAGGGUGCGCAGGCGGUCCUGCAAGUCUGGAGUGAAACGCAUGAGCUCAACUCAUGCAUGGCUUUGGAAACUGGAGGACUGGAGAGCAGGAGAGGGCGGUGGAACUCCAUGUGUAGCGGUAAAAUGCGUAGAUAUAUGGAAGAACACCAGUGGCGAAGGCGGCCGCCUGGCCUGUUGCUGACGCUGAGGCACGAAAGCGUGGGGAGCAAAUAGGAUUAGAUACCCUAGUA